GCGGGGCUGGCUAUCUGGUGUAGAAGAAGCCAGCGCUGGAGGCCUGAGGAGGCCCCUGUGGCUUCAAAAGUACUCCUGAAAAAAUGGUAACUCAUAGCCCAAGGGAAAUCCGAGCUUUUCUCUCUCACCCAGAGGGUCAUUCUCUCCGCAACACAGGGACGCAGUGACUGCAGAAUGAAGCAGAAAUGCAAUUCUGAGAACAGAGCUGGCCUGUACUCUCGGUGUCAGAGGGCAGCUGAACUCCUCCCUCCUCUGUCUCCGCAGAAAAGAAGACUUAAGAGUGUCCGUUUCUCCCCUUUCCAGCCCAGGGAAUUCAGGUCUGGCCCACCAAAAACAGAACAGGCAUCCUCUGAACCCCCGUGCUCCUUCCAGAGAGGAGUGAAAAGGAGAGCUGUUUUCUUUUCCUCCUACGUGACUUCAUGACAUGCAGAGACUUCUGGGUUUCCUCACGGCUAAGAUUCCAGCUAAGAUUCCC